GACAAGAUCAUCAUUUGUUUAAAGGAGACCAUUGAAAAACAGGAAAAAAUCAUCAAUGACUUAAGAGAGCAAAUGUGUUCAAGUACGUUUAUUCCCUACGAAAGCGAAGGUUCGUUUGAAGAUUUUACUGAAAUGGAAUUCAAUUCUCCAC